rnacentral:lncRNA from 1 species
CUUUUAUCGGUAAUUCUUGAAACAACUCCUUCUGUUACUAGCUCCUAACUUCAUUAAGGUAAGAUUUGGAUUGUUAACAGAAUUGUCUAAUGCAGCCUUGCAAUGGAGAGUUAGCUAAAACAAUCUAGUCACUAAGGAAAUGUCACAACACAAGAAUCUUUGAGUCCCGGUGGUUAUGCUAACGUUGAAUGAGUUGUUUAACUUUGGGUUGCUUAUUGGUGUUACUUAAUUGGACAUAAGGAUAGUUAAUAGUUUUCAAAGGAAUAUUCAUUGCUUUCAACUAGCAAUUACAACUUACAUUAAUCUACCCAGGUACCGAAAAUGGAACUUAAAUGAUCUUACAGCAACAACUGACAUGGUUACUACUUCCUAUUUCUCUGGAUAGGUUUGGAAUUUAUCCGGAAUUAGUUGAUGAAAUUUUUACAAGAGUUAGCUAAAGUGAUAAGAUUAAUAGUCGCGAGCUUGAGCACUGGAAAGUUCGGGUGAUUAAUUGAGGCUGGUACUAAAUUAAAUUGUUGUUUCGAGACAAUCUAACAAUGGCGAACGACACGUCAAUAGAACGGGUAUGAACCUAAACCGAAAUCUAUUUGUGGCUUAUCGUGACUAAGUGAACUCCUACUAAUCAGAACUGAUCACUAGUAAUGAAACUGAAAGACUGGGAUGUUUUGGCCGAGAUACUUAAGUAUGACACUUAACGAAACUGACUAGCAGGUUAGCAAGAUGAUUGAUAACUUAAACUGAAUUCUCUCAUGACCCCUAAUGAGCAAUUGAACUUCUACGGGUCUGAAUUGAUCAUCAAUAAUGUGACUGGAAGGCUGAAUACAUUUGGUAUAGAUACUUAAGAAUAAUGCUCUAUAAUAUCAGUUUAACUUACUGAUAUCGAGGAAUUUAGAAAAGUUUGCAACUCGAUAGAGUUCUUACAUUAAUGUACUGAUGGGUCUUAAGGCAUUGGAAGAGCUUAUCUGUCUCUAUCAAAAUUAGUUAGGCUCGGGAGAAUACAUUGUUCAUAACUUUCUAAGGCUUACUGAUUACGGAUUAAGCAUCCCUCAAUUCAAUGAAUUUGGAUGAGUAAGGGUCCACAUGAAUGGAUUAGUAAUUGAGAAUCCGGUUUCUACUAAUCCCAACUCAAACUUCAUAAUUUCUUUCUACCGGCAGUCCUCUUGAAUUAGCAAAACUUGGUUCUACAUGCUUCUUAUAACUAGGUUCACGAGAGUGUCUCGUCACUCCUAGAUUUUGGAAAGGUUCAUAUUACACCUAAAUGUCGGUUGGAUACCAUUUGCAUACUACACUAUUCAUUUAAACUGUGCUCAGUUCUCACAAUUACAUCAUCUGUCUCAUUGCACAAUUCAGACUUACUACGAUCAUCCGGGUAUUUUUACCUCUAUGCUUAGUCUCGGUUCCAAUCCGAUUAAAGCUAACUUUGAUACUGGGUUUUCCAUUCCCAAAAUCCUUUACCUCCUUAGGC